rnacentral:lncRNA from 1 species
GCCAUUCUGACGCUAGGAGUAAAAAAUAUUUUUUUCAACUCAAAAUAAUAACGUCGGCCAAAGCCCCAAUCGCGUCUACCUCAUCUCCUACCGUCGGCAACGUCGUAGUGACUGUCGAACAUUGUCCUCCACUCAACAAAUUGGACCCUCCUUCCCACCACCAACAAUUUAGCGUUUUUUAAAACUUCAUCGCGUCAUCUGCUUCGCCAACACUUUAGCAUCUUCAACUGCUAUGCCACAAUUCAACCUCUUCAAAUCAUACUUCGUUGGUUAGUAAACUAUUAUUCUCUGUUUAGGGUUUUGUAAAAGGGAUUUUAGGGUUUUGUUUUCAAUUUGGUAAAAUGAUGAAGUUGCUUGGUGCAUGAAUAAUAAGAUCUAAAAUGCAAUAAAUGUGUUUGUAAUUCUGAUUGAUGUGUCUCUUUUUGUUGUUCAAGAGUUACCAUAACUAGCUAUUUAGAACUUGAAUUAGCAAGAAAUGAUUUUGUUCUCAUUUUGUCCAAAAUCAUACUUGGUAAUUGCCAAAUGGUUAUAUAACAAUAACGCAAUAAUUUGACUAUAUUGAAGCUUCAAUUUCAUAUUCACACACUGUUUAUUUUAGAUGUAAAUUCAUUAAAUUAUAACUCUGGGAGUACUUUUCUGAUUACUCUCUGAAUGAAUGAUGAUUUCUGAAUGUGUGCUACACUCUGAUAUACUGGUAAGUUUUUAAUUUUUUAGGUAUUUGAGUGGAGUAAGGCUUUUGACUUUGAAAAUAGUUGAUGCUUAUUGGAUGAUUAAUUUGAUUUUAAUGAAGAAAAAUACUAUUAUGUAGUUAAGUUGGUGACUUGCACAAAUACACUAUUUGCAUAUUUUAUUAACUACUAAGAACCAAAACUAGUUAAUUAUUUGGUAUAUUGCAGUGUUGUAGUUAUCACAAAAUAGACUCAUUCAAUUGUAUGAGAUGUAGGUGAGGUGGGUGUGGUUGAAUGGUUAGUGAUGAUAUUGAAUUUUUGGUCUGAGGCAAAAUGAGUUUGUGUAGAAGUAUUGUUAAAUGAGUGUGUAGGGN